rnacentral:rRNA from 1 species
UACGUAGGUGGCAAGCGUUGUCCGGAAUUAUUGGGCGUAAAGCGCGCGCAGGCGGUCCUUUAAGUCUGAUGUGAAAGCCCACGGCUCAACCGUGGAGGGUCAUUGGAAACUGGGGGACUUGAGUACAGAAGAGAAGAGUGGAAUUCCACGUGUAGCGGUGAAAUGCGUAGAGAUGUGGAGGAACACCAGUGGCGAAGGCGACUCUUUGGUCUGUAACUGACGCUGAGGCACGAAAGCGUGGGGAGCGAACGGG